AGGGAUCAUUAUAGAGUUUUCUAAACUCCCAACCCAUGUGAACUUACCUUUUGUUGCCUCGGCAGAAGUUAUAGGUCUUCUUAUAGCUGCUGCCGGUGGACCAUUAAACUCUUGUUAUUUUAUGUAAUCUGAGCGUCUUAUUUUAAUAAGUCAAAACUUUCAACAACGGAUCUCUUGGUUCUGGCAUCGAUGAAGAACGCAGCGAAAUGCGAUAAGUAAUGUGAAUUGCAGAAUUCAGUGAAUCAUCGAAUCUUUGAACGCACAUUGCGCCCAUUAGUAUUCUAGUGGGCAUGCCUGUUCGAGCGUCAUUUCAACCCUUAAGCCUAGCUUAGUGUUGGGAAUCUACUUCUCUUAGGAGUUGUAGUUCCUGAAAUACAACGGCGGAUUUGUAGUAUCCUCUGAGCGUAGUAAUUUUUUUCUCGCUUUUGUUAGGUGCUAUAACUCCCAGCCGCUAAACCCCCAAUUUUUUGUGGUUGACCUCGGAUCAGGUAGGAAUACCCGCUGAACUUAAGCAUAUCAAUAAGCGGAGGAAAAGAAACCAACAGGGAUUGCCUUAGUAACGGCGAGUGAAGCGGCAACAGCUCAAAUUUGAAAUCUGGCCCUUGGGUCCGAAUUGUAAUUUGUAGAGGAUGAUUUUGGUGCGGUAUCUUCCGAGUUCCUUGGAACAGGACGCCUUAGAGGGUGAGAGCCCCGUACGGUUGAAUGCCUAGCCUCUGUAAAUCUCCUUCGACGAGUCGAGUAGUUUGGGAAUGCUGCUCUAAAUGGGAGGUAAAUUUCUUCUAAAGCUAAAUAUUGGCCAGAGACCGAUAGCGCACAAGUAGAGUGAUCGAAAGAUGAAAAGCACUUUGAAAAGAGGGUUAAAUAGCACGUGAAAUUGUUGAAAGGGAAGGAUUUGUGACCAGACUUUUUCUGGGCGGAUCAUCCGGGGUUCUCUCCGGUGCACUUCGCCCAGUAAAGGCCAGCAUCGGUUUUCGGCGUGGGAUAAAAGCAGUAGGAAUGUGGCUCUCUACGGGGAGUGUUAUAGCCUAUUGUAUAAUACCGCGCUGGGGACCGAGGU
rnacentral:rRNA from 1 species